rnacentral:rRNA from 1 species
UACAGAGGGGGCAAGCGUUGUUCGGAAUUACUGGGCGUAAAGGGCGCGUAGGCGGCCUGCUAAGUCGAACGUGAAAUCCCCGGGCUCAACCCGGGAACUGCGUCCGAUACUGGCAGGCUUGAAUCCGGGAGAGGGAUGCGGAAUUCCAGGUGUAGCGGUGAAAUGCGUAGAUAUCUGGAGGAACACCGGUGGCGAAGGCGACGUCCUGGACCGGCAUUGACGCUGAGGCGCGAAAGCCAGGGGAGCAAACGGG